AUCCAAGAACCCUUUAUUAUUAGCAGGCUGAACUAACCAACCGAAUACUCUUCCAGAACAAGUUAAGAAAACAUAAAAUGCCACAAUAGAAUGGACUUGGAUACACUCUCCAUUUGCAGUAUUAUAUAUUUAUUCAAUCCCCAGCUUCGGUUUGAAGAUCUGCAAAACGACUUCAUAAACCUCCGUUUGGUCACUUAAAGACUUGGAGACGCUCUCCUUUUGCAAGCAUCUCUCGCCCCACUCCACGAGCUUAGGGAACUCGGUGUUGGAAUAUUGCCAAUUAUGUGGCUGCCAUUGUCAAAGAAGAUGGCUGCCAUGUGAGAGUCAAAGAGGGCUGCUGAUGCAGCAUUUGCAGCCCCUUGACAUUGUCAAAGAAGGAGGCUACAAUGGUGGGUUGUUGGUGGCAGCCAACAACCAUUGUCCAAUGUCAAAGUUUGGUAAGUUUGGCAGCCACCAUUGUUGACAAAGGAGCAAGAGGAGCUGUCAUUGAAGCCUAUAAAUAGACACCAAGAGUGCAGCAUAAAGAGAGAGAGAGAGCAAGAACAAAAGAGAGAAGAAGAGAGAAAGAAAGAGAAGGGUUGCCACCAGCAGCCCUGCUGCCAUAUGCAGCUGCUGCCCUAUGUAGCAAUGAGAGAUGGGAGUUGAGUGGAUGUGAUCCUCCUCCGUGUGUUGUAUUCUUUCUCUAUCUCUAAUAAUAUUGAUCUCACCCGUGGAUGUAGGCGAUUAGCCGAACCACGUUAAAUAUUGUGUCAGUGUGCUUUACCUCCUAUGAGCAAAUAUCAGAACAUCACCGGUCGGAAUUCCCUAAAAUUGGUAUCAGAGCUUAUGGUUUAAAGUGGUGUUUGAUUUUUUGCUUAAAAAUGAAAGUUGUCAAAAUUAUGUUUUGACCAUACCAUUGUGUAGAAAAGGCAAGAGGACAAUUACCCACAUAAAUGGCAAAGGGGGUGAUUGUUGGAAUAUUGCCAAUUAUGUGGCUGCCAUUGUCAAAGAAGAUGGCUGCCAUGUGAGAGUCAAAGAGGGCUGCUGAUGCAGCAUUUGCAGCCCCUUGACAUUGUCAAAGAAGGAGGCUACAAUGGUGGGUUGUUGGUGGCAGCCAACAACCAUUGUCCAAUGUCAAAGUUUGGUAAGUUUGGCAGCCACCAUUGUUGACAAAGGAGCAAGAGAAGCUGUCAUUGAAGCCUAUAAAUAGACACCAAGAGUGCAGCAUAAAGAGAGAGAGAGAGCAAGAACAAAAGAGAGAAGAAGAGAGAAAGAAAGAGAAGGGCUGCCACCAGCAGCCCUGCUGCCAUAUGCAGCUGCUGCCCUAUGUAGCAAUGAGAGAUGGGAGUUGAGUGGAUGUGAUCCUCCUCCGUGUGUUGUAUUCUUUCUCUAUCUCUAAUAAUAUUGAUCUCACCCGUGGAUGUAGGCGAUUAGCCGAACCACGUUAAAUAUUGUGUCAGUAUGCUUAGCCUCCUUUGAGCAAUGAUCAUGAACACCACCGUUCCGCAUGGGGAGCAGGAAUCCCCAACAAUUGGUAUCAGAGCCACCACUAGUGGUUUCUCCUACCAACACUCGGCAACCAUGCUCCAGUUUCCUAGGGUCUCAAAUGUGUAAAAGAAGCUGUGGAAUGAAAUAAGUGCCAAGUCUAUAUAGCCAAAGCUCUCAUCCCCAAAAUAUAGCUUGUCUCCGAGUUCUUCUUCCAAGAUUUUAAAGCACUGAAUCAAGUCCUUCUUCGAUGAUUCCUUGAGCUCACCUUCAGAUGCCCAUAGAUUCCUUCCAGUAGGAUACAUCUGUACGAAACCAGUUUGCAUGUCAUUACUUCAUUAAUGUUUCCUUUCAAAAAGUAAACACAGUAAGACAGAGAAAACAAAUCAGUACUAGGAACUUACCUUCUUGUCGAUGUAGUCAGCCCAAAACCUGGCAUGUGCACGUCGAUAAGGAUCAGAAGGCAACAAUGAAGGUUUAUGGCUCCAAACCUCAUCAAUAUAUUGAACUAUGACCAUUGACUCACAGAUGGGUCUCCCAUUAUGGAUUAAGACAGGGAUUUUCUGAUGAACUGGGUUCAUCUUGAGAAGAGUAGAGCUCUUGUUGCUCAAGUCCUCUACCUUAGAUUUAUAUUCUAUUCCCUUCUCUUCCAAAGCUAUCCUCACCCUUGCUGCAAAAGGACUAAGCUUCAAAUCCAGUAGAACCACUUCAUUAGCCAUUUGUUGCACAAAGAGAAUCAAGAUUUUUCUCAGUAAUUUGUUUCCUUUUUCAAUUUGCAAUGUGGAACUGAGGCGAAAACAAGAAUUUAUAGCAGAAGAUGAGACCUUUGCAUGUGGAGUGUUCAGUCUCCCUUGAAUUUCUAGGUGCUUCGCUUUUGUCGUCAUUGCUUGCAUCAGAAUGGUCAACAUUAUUGUUGACAGGUUGGGAUUUUCCUGGGAAACCUCCUCGCAACAUUUUGUCAACAAAAUGUUACAAAUAUUCUUCUUGUAAAAUUAUUAAAGCGAAUUAGACUAGUCAUCACAAGAGAAGGAUCCAG
rnacentral:lncRNA from 1 species